rnacentral:rRNA from 1 species
AGGACGAACGCUGGCGGCGUGCUUAACACAUGCAAGUCGAGCGGUGAUCCUCCUUCGGGAGGUGAUCAGCGGCGAACGGGUGAGUAACACGUGGGCAACCUGCCCCUCACACUGGGAUAACCUCGGGAAACCGGGGCUAAUACCGGAUACGACCUCGAGCGGCAUCUCUUGAGGUGGAAAGCUCCGACGGUGAGGGAUGGGCCCGCGGCCUAUCAGCUUGUUGGUGGGGUAAUGGCCUACCAAGGCGACGACGGGUA